ACAGAGGGGGCAAGCGUUGCUCGGAAUCACUGGGCGUAAAGGGCGCGUAGGCGGGAUGGCAAGUCGGUCGUGAAAUCCUCGGGCUCAACUCGAGGGGGUCGGCCGAUACUGCCGUUCUUGAGGGAUGCAGAGGAGACUGGAAUUCCCGGUGUAGCGGUGAAAUGUGUAGAGAUCGGGAGGAACACCGGUGGCGAAGGCGGCAUCCUGGACCGGUAUUGACGCUGAGGCGCGAAAGCCAGGGGAGCAAACGGGA
rnacentral:rRNA from 1 species